rnacentral:rRNA from 1 species
UACGAAGGUGGCAAGCGUUGUUCGGAUUUACUGGGCGUACAGGGAGCGUAGGCGGUUGGGUAAGCCCUCCGUGAAAUCUCCGGGCCUAACCCGGAAAGGGCGGAGGGGACUGCUCGGCUAGAGGAUGGGAGAGGAGCGCGGAAUUCCCGGUGUAGCGGUGAAAUGCGUAGAGAUCGGGAGGAAGGCCGGUGGCGAAGGCGGCGCUCUGGUCCAUUACUGACGCUGAGGCGCGAAAGCUAGGGGAGCAAACGGGG